CCUCGCAACGCCCGGGCUGUCCUCCGCGAACGCCUGAGCAAAACACCCCACCGGGGCUUCCAACCGGUGAAAUCCGGUACUCGCGCCGCCUUCCGCGAUGUGCGGAGCGGGGAGCGGAGCCGAAACGAGUUCGAGGGGGUGGAUCCAGGUCACCUCUGUGGUCCCUUCCAGCCUGGAUUACUGUGUGCUUCUGUAAUGUGUGCUCCCCUGGAACUCUUCCUAACAGCUGAGUGAACAGCCAGGUGAUGCUUGGCAGCAGACUUGGACACUAACAGAAGUUCCUCAGAGAUCCUGCUGUUGAUAAGCACAUAAGCUCUUUGUUCACCAUUGAAUGGGACCUAAUUUUCAUUUUUAAUUUAUGUGUCUCAUGUGUAGAGUGUGAAGCCUCCAGACUACAUCUAACAUGACUUUUUUAUUGUACCAGCAUCACAUUUACCUCUUUAUUCCAUAAUCACGCCAUCUCAUACUCCAGUGCUGAGAACCACAUUCAGUGCACUAAAAACCACUUUAUUUUCCUUAAAUUAUUAUUUUUUAUUUUUAUUAGAACUCCUUGGUUUAGAGAAUCAGACAAUAAGAGAAGGUGGCCAGUGAAAAACCUGUCUACAAAUUCUAAAUUCCCUUUCCCAGUGUUGCCAAAGACCAAGGUUUCUGAUUUGGCUCGUGACCAGCAAGCACAAGCUCACAGACUGCAAAUCAGGAUCAGCAAAGGGGAGGAUGGGGUUUGCUCUCAACACAAGACAAAUCUAAUGGGAUCUAGGAAGAGGCAGAAAGCUAAAUUCCAUGCUUAAUUAUAGUUGUGGAUAAAUUUAAUUCAAAAUUAUACUGUUGAUUAUAAUUGGUACAGCUCUCUACAGCUUUCCAAAGGAGAAAAUUCCAUCCUCAGUGAACUUUGAAUUCUACUGUUGAAUUAGAAGUUUGGGAAAGUUAAAACAGCAAAACACCCCACACCCCAAAAAGAGACAGAUGGCUGUGACAGAUAUGCCAUAAUCACACACAGCACCUCCCACUGUGCCCUACAUAUCGUACAACCAACCUGCCCAGCCACUCCAGAUGCUUCCCGUUAUCUGCUGUGGAAAAGCAGCUGCAGCGGUGAUAGCCCAGGUCCUGUGAGUCAGUCAGUAUUCAUGGCACAAACCCCCAUCCCUGGCUAAAGCUGCAAGGCAAAAACAAGAUUGCUUAAAAAAGGGGUGGCCCAAUUUCAGUUGUUCUGCACGCAGGUAAUGAUUGCACUGCAAGUAAUCCUAAAGCUGAGCAUUGCUCCGCUGAGUGCAGACAAUCACACCAGUAUCAGCCACGGGUAAAUUACAAUUAAAGGCCUUUGACCACUGAGAACAUGGAGGCGGAAGGGAGCAGCUUAACGCCAAAGCAAA